UCGAACGACGUCCCCAAUCCUGGCCUCGCUCCUCGCUCCCCAAUCCCCACCUCCUCCUCUCCUCUCCAAUGGCAGCCUCCUCUCCUCCCCCAUUUUCGUUUCUCCACUCUCCCCCUCAACUGGAUGCGGGAGCCAGCGGCGGCAUGUAGAGCGUGUCGAGGCGGCUGGAGGCAGGGAGCACGCGCCUAGCGGCGGCGAUGGUGGCUGGAGGCGGUGUUCAGCGCGUCGAGGAUGGCCGCCGCCGAGGACAGAGCGGCAGACCCUUUCGUGGGCGGCGACCACGACCAGGCCGGCGAGCGGUGGCGGACUCGCCCUUCCCCGCGCGCGAGGAGACGAGAUCGGGGAGGCCUCGACCUGCGCGAGUGGCGGCGUGCGGCGUGGCGGCGGCUCAUGUCCUCUCGGCUGCGUGGCUCGAGGUUUUCUUCUCCCCUCCUCCCCCUCAGCAGAUGUGACCGUGUGAGGCGACCAAGGGCGACCAGGGAGGAGCAGCCUUACCAGCUCGGUAUGAGGAUGCGGCGCCAGAAGACUCCUCCACGAGCUGUAGCUCGUAGAUGCGUGGAGAUCUGGUGGUUGACCACCAUGUGGAUCUGAUGGUUGAGUUACAACAAGAAGGCUGCAGCUCGUAGAUGCGUGUGUAGAUCUGGUGGUUGAUGCUGCUAGGCCGAAGGGCUGCUGGAUCGUCGACUUUGUGUGUGGCGAUAACCUGCUAAUGUCGCCAAGAGAGUGUAUGUUUUGGAAGGGGUGAGCAGCGAUAGAGGUUUCUUUAGUCCUAGAGCAAUGCUUUGGUGAUUGUACCUCAAAUAUUCGUGGUCUUCAUGCUCCAGCUCAAGAUGCAGAUAAUGUCCAGAUUUUGAUGGUCAUCCUUCGUUUCUAGAGCCCUCAUAUUGGUCUAAAGGUGGAGGACUACAAGGGCUUGUCGGUUUGCAAGGUGUUGGUUCUUGAGGUGAGCUUAUGUGGAUCAUCUGGGAAGCUCAGUGAUGGAGCAACAAUUCAACGAGAUUUGGUUUGAAGUUUUGGAAGGCUUCAUUUGAUCUCUGGACUGCUUUGAUGUAGAAAGGAUUCUGUUACCAUUAAUUAACACACCAUGUUGGUGCUGGAGCUUUUGUGAUGAGUGGCAAAUGAGGACAUUGCCCCUUCAAGCCAGCAAGAUGAUUGAUGUACGUUGAUGAAUAAGAGCACCCAUCCAAGAUACUAAGAGUAUUAGCUGAAGGAACUGCGAUGAAACUCUGGCAGAGCAAUUAAAGAAACAGAUUUUAGCUUCCUAAUGGAUGACAUUUGGCUUAUGAAGUAAAAGGAUAUCCAGCUAGCAGAGCAAUAUUUUGGUUGAUCUCGUUCUCUUCUUUCGUCAAGGCUAGAAGUUGAGUUGCUCUAAAAUUAAUUAGCUACGGAGAUACAUUUUCAAGGAGUGGGAAAGAAGUAUAUUAAGCAAAGAGAAAAGUCAUAGGAAGGGGAUUUGGAGGAGGGAGGCCACCAUUGCUCGCUAAAAUUGUUUAUAUUUGUCAAUGUUCAUGGUCUUAAUAUAUUUCUGACUACCAUUUGCCCCUUUAUUAGCUUGUCCUGCUUGUGGGCACUGGGCUACAGCAUGUUGUUGCUCAGUUGGCGCUGGAGGUUGUUGAGGCAACAACCACUAAUUCUAGGGUAUUCUUUGGACAUUGUGAAGGAGCAUUUAAUUUGGUUAACGGGUAACUACGGAAUUUGAUAUACAGUGGCCAGCUUGAUCAGA